UUCGCUGGGAACGUUUUAUUCAAGACAGUGAUGCUUCUAAUAUGGUUUUCCGUUUAAGCUUUAGACCUCAAAUCAGAUAGGACUACCCGCUGAACUUAAGCAUAUCAAUAAGCGGAGGAAAAGAAACUAACAAGGAUUNCCCUAGUAACGGCGAGUGAAGUGGGAAAAGCUCAACUUUGAAAUCUGGCAGCUUCGCUGUCCGAGUUGUAGUCUCGAGAAGUGUUUUCCGCGCUGGCACGUGUAUGAGUCUGUUGGAACACAGCGUCAUAGAGGGUGAGAACCCCGUUCACGACACGUCUACCAAUGCUUUGUGAUACACUUUCGAUGAGUCGAGUUGUUUGGGAAUGCAGCUCAAAAUGGGUGGUAAAUUCCAUCUAAAGCUAAAUAUUGGCGAGAGACCGAUAGCAAACAAGUACCGUGAGGGAAAGAUGAAAAGCACUUUGGAAAGAGAGUUAAAAGUACGUGAAAUUGUUGAAAGGGAAACGCUUGAAGUCAGACGUGCGCGGUAUUUAUACCACUGCAGGCCAGCAUCGGUUUUGUAAGCCGGAUAAAGGUUAGAGGAAGGUGGCAGUCUCGACUGUGUUAUAGCCUUUAACUGAAUACGGAAUGUGAGACC
rnacentral:rRNA from 1 species